rnacentral:rRNA from 1 species
AUGCCCAUGCCUCCGCCGGGGCCCGCCUGGGCCGACUCGCCCGUCUCUGCCUACAUGCGCAUCCUCGAGAACUCCCUCUUCAGCGCCACUCCUCCCGGGGCUGCCGCCGCGGCGGCCGCUGCAGCCCAUGCUCAUGCCGCGGCUGCAGCAGCAGCUGCCGGACGGGGGCCUCCGCAGCACCCUUAUCACCCGCCCCCGCCGCCGGUGCCGUCGCCCGGGAUACUCCCUUCGCCGACCGGAUUCCUCAAUUUGCUCUCGCCGACGCCCAGGUCGCCCUACCCGCUCCUCUCGCCGGGGUUCCAGCAACCCCCUCCGCUCACGCCAAACUUCCCCUUGUUGUCACCGCUGCCAGGAACAGGGAUCCUGGGGCCAGGGCCCAUGCCGCCGCCGCCUUCGCCAGGGCUAUGGUUCCCGCAGUCGCCGUCGGGGCUGCUCUCACCGUCCGGAUUCUUUCCCUUGCUGAGUCCACGGUGGAGAGAUAUGUAG